rnacentral:lncRNA from 1 species
UUUACAGUUGGGGAAAUAGACUUUGAAUCACUGUUGAAGGUGGCACAGCUAGUCUGUGGUUACUUGAAAAUUAGCAGUGUAUCCACAUCAGAGUCGAAGCUGUUUCUCUUCCAACUUCCUCCUUCUUACUGACCUUCAUUCAAGCUCUUUAAUUAAAAAGAAAACCAAUGUACAUGUAUAUAUUUCAUGGGAAAGUUAAAGAUACAUGCAUCUUUACAGGAGAGUCUCCCAGAAGCUGAAAUCCUCAGAAAGAACUGCAGCUGGUACUUAGAGUCUUCCAGCCCACAGUGGAAUCUCCCCACCACCUGUCUCCCUUGUUUCUCCCACUCUGUGCACCGUCCCUCUACUUGGAGUCUCCACCGCCCAACUGACAAGGAGGGAAGCUCAAGCGAAUGUGCUGGCAUUUGCAUUCUGAAGUUUUAUGAAAACAAAAGAAUUCAUGUAAUCUUUGAAAGUGAAAAAUGAACUGAGUAAUAGCACUGUGAAGGAAAGAUUUUGUUCUCAAAGUGACCAUUUCACAACUUGGACUAUUUGGGGGCUAAUAUGUUUAACAAGUGAUGGUGGCUUAUCAUCAUUGACUAGUCCAUUAUAUAAAAAGUUCAUUGAAUGAAGAGUCAGAAUAACUGGUUUUGAGUCUUAUCUCUGCCACCAGUUCUCUGAACCUCGGUUUUUAUCUGUAAAAUGGGGAUGCCAAUUAUCCAUUACUGAGUAGUAUUGUGAGGUUCAAAACAGCAAUGUUUAUGACAGUACUUGUAACCCACAUAGUGCUUUAUAAAAUAUAGGGUUUAUUAUUAUUGUCACUGUUAUCUGUAUUAGUUUCCAUUUUCCCAUGGUGAACUCUUUACAUGGCAAAUGCAAAGAUGGAAUGAAAGAGGCAUUGCAGGGAGAGCCAUCUGAUUAUUCACUUUUGGGGGAAAGUGGAUAAAGUACAAGAUUUUGCCUGGCAGUGAUGAUAGAGGGGAGCUGAAUCCUGUCACAGAAAAUUUGAAGGCCCUCCCCUUUUUCAUUUCCCUCCAUGAACUUCUGCCUGUAGUAAUAAAAAAUCCUGUGUUUGUGCCUGUGUUGCUUUAUUUUAGGAGCUUGACUUUUAUAUGAAUCUUUGUCCCUGUGUGGGAUUGCUGAGUAUUAUUUUUGCCUCAUCUUACCAGUGAAGAAAGGGAAGUGUGUGACAUUAAAUGAUUUGCCCAGGUCACCCAGAAAGCCAGUGAUGGAGUCUCCAAGAGUCAAUUGUGAUUUCUCGUUCUNUCCAAGGGUCAAUUGUGAUUUCUCGUUCUCCUCCCCUAGUCACCAGAAGAAACACCACGAAGUGUCUUGAGAUAGCCUGAUAUUCAGCCCUACUUCCCAGCAGGACCAGAGAGAAUGGUUAUUCCUACAUGGACACUCUUGUGACCUUCUCCCAGUCCCAGCUUGACUGGGGAAGGGAAUUGGAGGACUUUAGAAAGACCUGCCCUGGAGAGCCGUUAAUGACGGCUUUGACUCUCAGGGUAGCCUCUGUAGUUUUGCACGAAUGAGCCUGUAAGUGUGGACACACAUGGAGAAUGAGGUUAAGAGAAGAGAAGAGAGAAAGGGAGAUAAGCAUGUGCUCACGUUCAUGUUUAGUACAUGAUCGUAGUGCAAAAAAUAACAUUUUCGUCUUCCUUUCCUCAAACUGACCUGCUGUUAAUCCCGACACACGUCUCAAGGGUUAUCAUAAAGCAUUACGGUUUUAUUUGAAUCGGGCAGUAUACUGGCUUCCCUGGCGGCUCAGACUGUAAAGCAUCUGCCUACAAUGCAGGCGACCUGGGUUGGGAAGAUCCCCUGGAGGAGGGAUUGGCAACCCACUCCAGUAUUCUUGCCUNNNNNNNNNNNNNNNNNNNNNNNNNNNNNNNNNNNNNNNNNNNNNNNNNNNNNNNNNNNNNNNNNNNNNNNNNNNNNNNNNNNNNNNNNNNNNNNNNNNCUUGCCUGGAAAAUCCCAUGGACAGAGGAGCCCGGCAGGCUGCAGUCCAAAGGGUCGCAAGGAGUCGGACACGACUGAGCGACUACCACUCUACAUAUGCUGCAUUCCCGGAAAACUGCUUGAUUGCUUGUUAGCUCUUAGAAAAGAUGGUUACUUUAUAAUUUCUUAAAGGAGGGUAGGCGUCAGAGAAGGUUAGGCCUCAGGCACUGUGUUCCCGCAGCUCCCUGUGUUUCCCCGUGUAACUCUCAGGAGGGCUACUCGCUACUGCUUGUUUCGUUUCUGCCUUUCCUGUCAGGCUCUCAGCCCCCUGAAGGCAGGGAGGGUGUCUGUUCUGUUUAUCACUGUUCCCAUACUGGCACCAAGCCUACUCUGGCAUAUUCCAGCCAACCCUUAAAUGUCAAGGAAUGAUUGUGUGAAAAACUAACAAGAGUUAAGUUUGUGGGUGCUAGGUUUAAAAUGGCUUAUUAAGAAGCUAAGUGCAUUUCAGGUCCAUUUCCAUCUUUUUUAUUUUUUAGUUUUAUUUGGAGGAUAAUUGCUUUAUAAUGUUGUGUUGGUUUCU